rnacentral:rRNA from 1 species
CAUGCACCGAAGCUGCGGCAGCGAACGUAUCACCCAAGACAACUUUACGGAGUUGACGAUUGACGGAGCGAAGCGACGUCAAAGCGUUCAUUAAAGUCGAGUUGGCUUAGGGAUACGUUCGUUGGGUAGGGGAGCGUUCUGUAAGCCUGUGAAGGUGUGUCGUGAGGCAUGCUGGAGGUAUCAGAAGUGCGAAUGCUGACAUAAGUAACGAUAAAGCGGGUGAAAAGCCCGCUCGCCGGAAGACCAAGGGUUCCUGUCCAACGUUAAUCGGGGCAGGGUGAGUCGACCCCUAAGGCGAGGCCGAAAGGCGUAGUCGAUGGGAAACGGGUUAAUAUUCCCGUACUUGGUGUUACUGCGAAGGGGGGACGGAGAAGGCUAUGUUGGCCGGGCGACGGUUGUCCCGGUUUAAGCGUGUAGGUGUGUGUUCCAGGUAAAUCCGGUUCACUUUAACACUGAGGCGUGACGACGAGGCACUACGGUGCUGAAGCAACAAAUGCCCUGCUUCCAGGAAAAGCCUCUAAGCAUCAGGUAACAUCAAAUCGUACCCCAAACCGACACAGGUGGUCAGGUAGAGAAUACCAAGGCGCUUGAGAGAACUCGGGUGAAGGAACUAGGCAAAAUGGUGCCGUAACUUCGGGAGAAGGCACGCUGACACGUAGGUGAAGUGAUUUACUCAUGGAGCUGAAGUCAGUCGAAGAUACCAGCUGGCUGCAACUGUUUAUUAAAAACACAGCACUGUGCAAACACGAAAGUGGACGUAUACGGUGUGACGCCUGCCCGGUGCCGGAAGGUUAAUUGAUGGGGUCAGCGCAAGCGAAGCUCCUGAUCGAAGCCCCGGUAAACGGCGGCCGUAACUAUAACGGUCCUAAGGUAGCGAAAUUCCUUGUCGGGUAAGUUCCGACCUGCACGAAUGGCGUAAUGAUGGCCAGGCUGUCUCCACCCGAGACUCAGUGAAAUUGAACUCGCUGUGAAGAUGCAGUGUACCCGCGGCAAGACGGAAAGACCCCGUGAACCUUUACUAUAGCUUGACACUGAACAUUGAGCCUUGAUGUGUAGGAUAGGUGGGAGGCUUUGAAGUGUGGACGCCAGUCUGCAUGGAGCCGACCUUGAAAUACCACCCUUUAAUGUUUGAUGUUCUAACGUGGACCCGUAAUCCGGGUUGCGGACAGUGUCUGGUGGGUAGUUUGACUGGGGCGGUCUCCUCCUAAAGAGUAACGGAGGAGCACGAAGGUUGGCUAAUCCUGGUCGGACAUCAGGAGGUUAGUGCAAUGGCAUAAGCCAGCUUGACUGCGAGCGUGACGGCGCGAGCAGGUGCGAAAGCAGGUCAUAGUGAUCCGGUGGUUCUGAAUGGAAGGGCCAUCGCUCAACGGAUAAAAGGUACUCCGGGGAUAACAGGCUGAUACCGCCCAAGAGUUCAUAUCGACGGCGGUGUUUGGCACCUCGAUGUCGGCUCAUCACAUCCUGGGGCUGAAGUAGGUCCCAAGGGUAUGGCUGUUCGCCAUUUAAAGUGGUACGCGAGCUGGGUUUAGAACGUCGUGAGACAGUUCGGUCCCUAUCUGCCGUGGGCGCUGGAGAACUGAGGGGGGCUGCUCCUAGUACGAGAGGACCGGAGUGGACGCAUCACUGGUGUUCGGGUUGUCAUGCCAAUGGCACUGCCCGGUAGCUAAAUGCGGAAGAGAUAAGUGCUGAAAGCAUCUAAGCACGAAACUUGCCCCGA